UAUUAUAAGGUAUGAUGUUUUAUAAAUUUCAUCGUAGAGGAAAGGUGCCUACCGAUAUUAUCAGAGAAACGAGGAAAAAUACGAGGCGAAAGAUCGCACAAAAUAUCUUGUUCGUCAUCUUUUCACAUAUAAUGUCAAUGUUUCGAAAUACCUCUAAACAUCUGUCGAGAGAAGUGGAACGUGAGAAAUAUGAAAAAGUUAAAAAAAAUAUAAAGAGAUUCCGAUGUUGCUCGCGUUUCUAUACAUGUAACGCGCAGCCUUAACUAGUCCAGCAAUAAGAAAGUUGUUAUUUCUUAAAUAUUUGUUUAUAAAACAUCUAUGUUUUGCUUCUGCAAGGAAUCGUAAGUCGAAUGAAAGAUUAAAAGGAAAAGACAAAAGUGUAAUAUGAUCGCUAUAAUUGGCUAUAAUUGUAUACAAAGUCAUAUUUUGGAGAACAUUACUGUUCUCGAUUAAAAAGUAAACCCUCGGAAGAAGACGUUGUUUUACCUUUCAACUAUUAUAAAAGGUCAUAGUUUUCAUUAUCAUAGAAAAGCACUUAUAAUCACUUUCUUUAUAUUUAUUAGCCGCAUUCUGCGUAAUUUCGCAUUUCUAAAAUUUUUAUAAAUUCACAAUAAUCGUCAGUGUAGUUGUAACAAUUUUGUUUUUCAUACUUUUCAAAAGCGAGCGAUCGUUCUAACGUUUGAGGGUGUUUCAAGCCUUUUCCUUCCUGUCAACUAAGUAUAACAACUAAACUGCGGAUUUUCACGCAUUUAUAGGAAAUUUGAAAGCGGAAAAUUGUAGCGAAUUGCGCGUAAUACGAAAAAGACACAUAAGAUAUGCAAAGUAUAGUGUUUUCUAUGAUACUUGAUAGGUUCUUUCCAUUUUCCUACUCAUAUUCUUUAUUCUUUUAAUUCUAAUCUGAAAAAUAAGAAUUUGGAUAAAAAUUCACGUUCUAAAUAGUUAUAUGACUAGUAUGAAUUUCGGUUUUCACACCGAAGAUGGAUUUUAUCUUUCUAACGUUUAAAAGGUAUCUCGAACUUUUUAACAACCCCUGCCAGGUUUAAUUCUCACGAAUCGAAACCCGCACCCUUCCUUCUCCAUAAAGAGCUUGAGAAAGAAAACGACCGUUACCAUCUCUCCCCUCUUCGCGCAGUCGUCGUCGGUUCUGGUCGCUGCGUGUCCGACUAACCGAGCAUCCCCUUUUUGCCAGCCCGGAAACAGGUAAAAAUCAGGGUUUGCGCGACCUUUGACCCCGUGGGAUCGUUGAAACAGGGUGUGUGUUAUUGUGCGGAGAAAUUUUCUCACGGAUCAUCGUAACGCGUGCACCCGUCCAAACACCACUAUUUAAGAGCCGCUACUGCCUUCGAUCUCCGCAGAAGUAGCUCGCUACCCGAACGGAAAGGUCACGGAGUGUCCUGGAGGAAGAUUCGCAGCGAUAUCUUCCGGCAAUGGUCUCGAGGACCAGCCCGAAGAUGGGAUCAUCGGACGGAGACACGCAAAAAGUUUAAAGAAUAACCGAAAUCGAAGAAAUAGGAAGACUAAAAUCAGACAGAACAAAAUUUCGUUAGAUUUGGGAAAGAAGAAGGAGGAGAAAACGAAGAAAGACGGCUACUACUGUGAAAAAUAGAAGCACGAAAGGGCGCGUCAAACACUCUACAGGAUCCAAAGCACAAAACCCCGAUUGUUAAAGUUUCGGGAACGUUUAAAGAAGUACAAAGCGGAUGACGAAGGAAGAAGAGAAAGGGGAAGAAGAAAGCUCAAUUUAAAGGAAAGAAGGGAAAAACGAAAAAGGAUAAGAGAAAUUUGAAAAAUUUAGAGAUUCCCGAGCCGAAUACACAUCGAAAGAUCGAACAAAAUUUCAUAGCAUGAAAAUAGAAGUAUUGGUAAACGUUUUUUCCAACACAACUUUUCAAACUUAUAAAUUUGAGAAUCAUUGUACCGAAAAAAAUGAAUAAACCGAAGAACGAAGAGGAGCUUUUGGAACUUUUUCAAACAAAAGCAAAAGUCCAAGAAGCAACGACAAUCGCUUGCCAAACAUAGUAUAACGAUAAUAAUUCCAUUGAUUGGCAUUUCAGUUACAUCGAAAUUCUAAAAUUUUAACAAAAUCUCAAAGUUAACGAAACGUAGAAAUUGACAUAGCAGAUAAGAGCUAUAUUUAAAUUAAAGCUUUCGGAUCGCUCGUGAAUUAAAAUUGAAGGUUAUCAGCUGAAACUGCCAAAAAAGAAAAGAACAAAAAAAAGAAAAAAAAGAAAGAAAGAACAAAAAAAGAAAAGAAGGAAGGAGAUAAUAGAAAUUGAUUUGUUAUCGUUUACUUUAGUCAAAAUCGCGCAAAAAAGAUUCAAAAUUCAAGAUUGAUCAAUUUUUUUAAAUUCUUCGCCUUUUCUGCACCAUUUUAUAAGCCAAACAGAAUGGAGAAAAUUCAGUUGGAAAUUCAGAGAUCGUUUUGACAAUAUAGAAUCGAUGUUAUUAACUUUCGGGAGAAGCAGGUAAAAAUGAUGUACUCGAAAAACGUACUACUCGACGAAAAACGUGCAGUGUUGAACACAAAAUCGUAGAAUCGACUGUAAUAAUAUUUUUAAUUUACUUCCGACUUCCUAAAUGAUAACAAUGAUAGAAAAUAAUCGAAGCGACGAGUAGAGCGAAGAGUUGAGGUUUGUUUUAGUUAACGUUUUAUAAUGAUUAGUAAGAAAAUUAUUGUUCAGUUUUUAAAUAAUUGUUCUCGUUUUCUAGCCCGUUAAACAAUUGGUUCGUUAAGUUUGUUCCUCGUUUAUUUGUCAGUCAUUGAUUUUCAAACGACGUUACGAAAAUUCCUAGUUCUUUGUUAAAAAAAAUUUAACCGCGUUUCCCUUUGUUCUUGUUAAGUUUGUCGUUCUCUCUUAUUUUCGUUAAUGUUAACAUGCCAGCUGUUGAGUUAAUGUUAAUCACCUGAGCUUGAAAAAUUGAAGUUAACGUUUAACCGGGUUGUGUUUUUGUUUUAUAUUCGAAGGAUUGGAAAAGAGAAGGUAUUUUAGGCUGAAAGUAUUCCAUGUUUACGCAUAAGAUAUUAAGAGAUAAAUUGUGCGCAAGAAUGGUCAAUAUUAUUGUACUUUUCGCGUAGAAUACUCGCGUUUAAACGAAGUUUCACGUGGACGUUCUGUUUUCUUUCGACGAUUAAGUUAAAAAAAAUCUGUUUUCCCCAUUGUUCGUUGUUUCGUAGAAAACAAAUUUUUUUUACCGUUGAAUUGUCCUACAGACGAAGUUAACAAUCGGGUGAAAAGAAAACGAAGAAAAUCCGUUCGACAAAAAAGAGAAAAAAAGAGACGUUUACGUUGUUUUCUUGUUUGUCCGUAAAUAUUUCUACUUUUGGUUCUUCACCGUUGUGCCUUGACUUUUACUUUGCAAGUGAUCGAUCACGUUAAUCGCUUGUUCGUGAUACCAUAAAUCUCCGAACGAACGACUUACAAUUAUUGUAGUAUACGAAUAUUAUAUUGCGCGAUACGAUACAUAAACGAAUUAAUCUCGUCCGUUUAAUUCAUUUAUCUAUUUGUUUCGUAAAUUACCGAAUUGUAAUUUUAAGAUUAAGACCGUUGUAUCGAUACUCGUUUAUUUAACUGUAUUACUCGCCGAGUCAAUUACCGAACGAUCGAAUGACAACGGUUGAUUCGUUCGCUCGAUCGUCGAUUAUCCGACCUUCCUGCGUGUCGGUUCGUUAAACAAUUGUGUCUUUUAAUUGUAAUCGUGUGUAUUCGAUAAAAUAUUAAUCGUGAAAAAGAAACGUAGCCGGUGAAGCGUUUUAAAUAGCCGUCUAUAAAUUCGUGUGCCGAUUAAUCGACAUUGUAGUUAAUACUUUUAAAUAGCGUGUGUGUACGAGUGAAUCUUUCUAACUCUACCAUUGAUUCAAUUUUUCCAUCUUGAUGCGAUUAUGCCUGUGAACAUUAAUGAACAACGAGAGAAGAAUUGACUAUUAAGCGUGUACGAAUUGAAAGAUACGUAUAAUUAAAUACCUUUGGCAUUCUGUAAAGUAUUUAAUGUACCUAUGAGAUCUGCAUAAAUAAAAAGCAAGUUACUUGCA